rnacentral:rRNA from 1 species
UACGUAGGGGGCAAGCGUUGUCCGGAUUCAUUGGGCGUAAAGAGCGUGUAGGCGGCCUGGUAGGUCUGCUGUGAAAACUCGAGGCUCAACCUCGAGCUGUCGGCGGAAACCACUUGGCUAGAGUCCGGAAGAGGAGAGUGGAAUUCCUGGUGUAGCGGUGAAAUGCGCAGAUAUCAGGAAGAACACCUAUGGCGAAGGCAGCUCUCUGGGACGGUACUGACGCUGAGACGCGAAAGCGUGGGGAGCGAACAGG